CCACAACCUGUUAGGAAGACUGAGCUUCAAUCCGAUGCCGUGUAGAGUUGCAGAGGGCCCUGCUGGCGUCUAGCUCCAUGCUACACACCAGGGAAUGAAGGAAUGCAUCACCCACAGCCCCACCUUCCUGUCCCUCCAACUCCCUGUUCACAGUGUUGCCCAGGUUGGUUUUGAACUCCUGGGCUCAAGUGAUCCACCCGCCUCAGCCUUUCUAAGACCUGGGAUUACAGGUGUGAGCCACCACACUUGGCCGAGACUUUUUUUUUUUUUGGUGAGAUAGGGUUGUCUCCUCCGUCACCCAGGCUGGAGUGCAAUGGUGACAUCUUGGCUUACUGCAACCUCCACCUCUGGUUCAUCUCCUGCCUCAGCCUUCCAAGUCCCGAGUAGCUGGGAUUACAGGCGUGUGCCACCACGCCCAGCUAAUUUUUGUAUUUUUAGUACAGAUGGGCUUCCACUGUGUUGGCCAGGCUGGUCUCAAACUCCUGACCUCAGGUGAUCUGCCCCCCUCGGCUUCCCAAAGUGCUGCGUGUGCCACAUCGCCUGGCCUGGGUGUGACUUUCUGAGCAGAGGUGCGGAUUUGUCCUCCUGCCCUCCUCUGGCUUAUCUCUGAGGGAAGGAGGAAUGGCUCUUGUCCUCUCACUGAGCACGUUACCCCCCACAAGUUAUUCAAGCUCUGAUCUCAGGUUGCUCAUCUGUAAAAUGAGUUAACAAAAUUGUCUACCUUGGCUGGGUGAGGUGGCUCACGCCGGUAAUCCCAGCACUUUGGGAGGCUGAGGCAGGUGGAUCACCUAAGGUCAGGAGUUCAGAGACCAGCCUGACCAAUAUGGUGAAACCCUGUCUCUACUACAAACACAAAAUUAGCCAGGCACAGUGGCACAUGCCUGUAAUCCCUGCCACUCGGGAGGUGGAGGUUGUGGUGAGCCGAGAUCGUGCCAUUGCACUCCAGCCUGGGUAACAAGAGUGAAACUGUGUUUCAAAAAAACAAAAAAAAGUGUCUACCUUUCAGGGCUUCCAUGAAUAACAUGAUGUCCAGAAAGGCGACAGCACAGACCCUGGCACGCAGCAAGCUGGGCCACUGUGCUACGCAAUACCAUCACUUCUACUUCACUGCCACGAGGCUCCUCAGUGUCCACAAAAGCUCGUCUGCCCUGUGCCCAGCCUGGCUGCCAAGUGAGAAAGCAGAAGCAGGGCACAGACGAGACACUUGGCACAGAGGGCGUUUUCACCCUGCUUCAACAUUUAGCAAAUGCUCUGCUUCCAGAAAAUGCAGCUGGGGGCCUGCCUGCAACAUCCGAUCUCCCAAGCACUCCUCCGGAGACUUUUUUUUUCUGAGGAGAGUUUCACUUUUGUCACUCAGGCUGGAGUGCAGUGGCACGAUCUCAGCUCACCGCAACCUCUGCCUCCUGGGUUCAAGCAGUUUUUCUGCCUCAGCCUCCCGAGUAGCUGGGAUUACAGGCAUGCGCCACCACGCCUGGAUAAUUUUUGUAUUUUUAAGAGAGACAGGGUUUCACCAUGUUGGUCAGGCUGGUCUCAAACUCCUGACCUUAAGUGAUCCACCUACCUUGGCCUCCCUUAGUGCUGGGUUACAGGUGUGAGCCACUGCACCCAGCCUUUCCUGAGGCUCUUAAAUCCCCCUGGAGUGGUGGAGAAGAGGAUGAUAUUCUUACUGAACCCCACUGUCUUCCCUGGUCCCCAGCUCCUGUGCUCCCUGGAUAACACUCCACCCAUCUUGCAGGUACUGUGAGGAUCUGGCUCAUUAGAUUGCAGUGGCUACUUUUUUUUUUUUUAAAGACUAGCCAAGUGCAGCAGUGAGAAGCGGGGAAAGAGUAGAACAAGGAGUUUGAUAUGUAACUGACUGUCAACAAUCAGUGGAGGUAACUCACUACCUUCAGACCAGCCAGCUUCAGCUUCUUAAGAGUCAGGGUCUUGCUCUGCAGCUCAGGCUGGAGUGCAGUGGUACAACCAUAGCUCACUGAUCACUCCAACUCCUGGGCCUGAGCGAUCCUCCCACCUCAGCCUCCUGAGGAGGUGGGACAACAGGCGCUCUGCCGCACACCGGAGCAGCUUCCUAAUGAGGACCUCUGAAGGACUGCCUCCUUGUUCUUAGCAUUAGAAAUCAGGGGCUUCAGCAGAACAAGUGAAAUGGCAUGGCGGCUGCUGCAAAGCCUGGAGUCCAACGUAUGGUCUGUGUCCUGCAAGCUACGUCUUUACAAUACGUGCCACUCCUGGCUCUGUAAUUUUCCUGUCACUCACUUUUUCUUAUUUUUAACAGAUAAUCCUUGUAGUGUUGCUUGCACAUCUGUUAAGUGGCCACUGAAUCCCUUCUGGAACUAGGCAGGGAGAAAAUCAAUAGACUGACUGAUAUAACACAGAAUGAAAUGAUCAUCGCUGCCUUUCACUGAGUGCUUCCUAUGUGCUACGGAUGACCCUAGACAUUGUCUUUUUAAGAUGGAGUUUCACUCAUCACCCAGGCUGCUGUGCAAUGACACGAUCUUGGCUCACUGCAACCUCUGCCUCCCAGGCGCCAGUGGGUCUCCUGCCUCAGCCUCCGGAGUAGCUGGGAUUACAGGCAUGCACCACUACCACCUGGCUAAUUUUUGUAUUUUUAGCAGAGAUGAGGUUUUACCAUGUUGGGCAGGCUGGUCUUGAAUUCCUGACCUCAAAUGAUCCACCUGUCUUAGCCUCCCAAAGUGCUGGGGUUACAUGUGAGCCACCGUGCCAGGCCUCUUACUGUUAAAGAUUUUUAAAAAAAACUGAACUAUGACAUAUAGGUAGAAAAGUACACACAUCACAGCUUGAUGAAAAGUCUACAGCCUGAAUGCAUCCAGCUCCCAGAUGAAGAAAUGAAACAUUCCCAAGUCCUCAGAAGCCCCCCUCGCUCCCUCCAGCCUCUCCUGGCCCCGAGGGUCACUGCUGCCCUGACUGACACUGUGGAUUUGCUGGAUCUACUUGUGCUUCAUGUUUAAGAACUCCUACGGUCCAGGCUUUCUUGGUGUCAGAUUUCCUUUCCUUAAUAUUAUGUUUGCCUUACCUGAUCUUCAGAAGACGAUACUUUCGCCAGGUGUGGUGGCUCACAUGGAUCACACCUGUGAUCCCAGCACUUUGGGAGGCCAAGGCAGGCAGAUCACCUGAGGUCAGGAGAUUGAGACCAGCCUGGCCAACAUGGGAAAACCUUGUCUCUACUGAAAAUACAAAAAUGAGCCAGGCCUAAUGGAGGGCGCCUAAAAUUUCAGCUACUGGGGAGUCUGAGGCAGGAGAACAGCUUGAAUCCAGGAGGCGAAGGUUGCAGUGAGCCGAGAUCAUGCCACUGUACUAAAAAAAAAAACCUCCAAAAAACAAAAAAACACGAAUACAUAAAAACAAAAACAUGACUUUGACUUAGAUAUCUGGCCCUAAAUGAAGCAAUCAGCAUGUUUCUCCCAGAGUCUGAAUUUAAUCUGAAUUUUAUCAAAGGGCUGCGCUGUUAGAACCCACCGGCACUGCAUGUUAGCCUCACACCCUGGGCAAGAGGGGAGCUGUAGGGAACGGUGCUGUCUAAUGAGGUGUUCAUGGUGGGAGGAGACCUCCCUCUCAUGCAAGGUCCCUUUGGCUGGAUGCUCUGAGACCCUGCUCUCAGCAAUGCUGUAUAAAAAUACAGCUUUUUAUUUUUAUUUUUCAUAUUUUAGAGACAGAUUCUUGCUCCAUCAUCCAGGCUGGAGGGCUCUCUGCAGCCUUGAACUCCUGGGCUCAAGCGAUUCUCCUGCCUCAGCCUCCCAAGUAGCUGAGGACUUCAGAUGCACAUCACUGAGGUAAGAGGCAAGAACAGUGCAUCUGAAAUCUAUCCAGACUGAGCCGGGGUCAACCCUGUCCCAGCUGCGGGGUCUGAGCAGGGCUGAGCGCAGCGCCAGGCCUGGGAACUUACUGCAGGGUGAUGCUGACGUUGGUUGAGCUCCCAUUUUCCAGCUUUACAACGGGAGGAACAGUGAGGCUGACAGUUGACUCUGGAAGGACCAAAAUCAAUAACAUGAGGCGCCAGGUCAGAGCUCGGUCCACGACAGGACACUGGGCCGAAACCCCCGACAUGUGAACUCCUGAGCACUGACUCCCUGACGAGCCCUAUUCUGCGAUGGGCUGGCAAACACGGGCCCUGGUGAGGUUCUUUCCCCACCUGCUGCCAGAGGCAGAGGCAGAGGCACUCCAGCCUGGGCAACAGUGAGACUCUGUCCCAAAAAAAAAAAUGAUUUUUGUAGAGAUGGGGUCUCAGUAUGUCGCUCAGGCUGGUGUCAAACUCCUGUGCCCAAGCGAUCAUCCCUCUCUGGCCUCCCAAAGUAUUGGGAUUACAGUGUGAGCAAAUGCCAGGGCCUCCUCCCCUCCCUGCAAGGACAGGCUCUGAGAGUCUUCGGCUGAGUUACUCAGAGAUUGUUAGAGAACAUGGAGCCCAAAAAUCACCACAAAGGAAUCCACGCAUGAUCUGGAAUGCAAAAGGCAGCCCUGAACCACCUCUUCAGAUGGAAAGCGCAGCACCUCCUCUGUUCAUGGCGUCAAAAUGGCCCUGAAGAACGGGACCAGCCCCUUUCCUGCACGAACAGACACACAGGGGCCCAGCUAAUGAGUUUCUAAAGAACCCUCUGGGCUCCCUGACUCGCCCAGCUCCCUGGCUCUGGUCCCUUCCUAAGGCUAUCUGUGCAGGGGCUGGAAAAGGAAGGGUGAAUAGCUGUUUCAGUCUCAGAUUUCUCCUCGGCUUUAAGGUGUUAUCUCAGAAUAAAGAUGACAAACCGGCCCCUGGAUGAGGGGGAA